rnacentral:rRNA from 1 species
UACGUAGGGUGCAAGCGUUGUCCGGAUUGACUGGGCGUAAAGCGCACGCAGGCGGACGCGCGCGUGGGGUGUGAAAUCUGGCCGCUUAACGGCCAGGCGCCAUCCCAUACGGCGCGUCUGGAGUGAUGCAGAGGUCGAUGGAAUUGCCGGUGUAGUGGUGAAAUGCGUAGAGAUCCGGAAGAACACCGGUGGCGAAGGCGGUCUGCUGGGCAGUAGCUGACACUGAGGCGCGACAGCGUGGGGAGCGAACAGG